AGUGAACGCUGGCGGUAGGCCUAACACAUGCAAGUCGAACGGCAGCACAGUAAGAGCUUGCUCUUACGGGUGGCGAGUGGCGGACGGGUGAGGAAUACAUCGGAAUCUACUUUUUCGUGGGGGAUAACGUAGGGAAACUUACGCUAAUACCGCAUACGACCUACGGGUGAAAGCAGGGGAUCUUCGGACCUUGCGCGAUUGAAUGAGCCGAUGUCGGAUUAGCUAGUUGGCGGGGAAAAGGCCCACCAAGGCGACGAUCCGUAGCUGGUCUGAGAGGAUGAUCAGCCACACUGGAACUGAGACACGGUCCAGACUCCUACGGGAGGCAGCAGUGGGGAAUAUUGGACAAUGGGCGCAAGCCUGAUCCAGCCAUACCGCGUGGGUGAAGAAGGCCUUCGGGUUGUAAAGCCCUUUUGUUGGGAAAGAAAAGCAGCAGGUUAAUACCCCGCUGUUCUGACGGUACCCAAAGAAUAAGCACCGGCUAACUUCGU
rnacentral:rRNA from 1 species